CCAUCCAUCAGGCUUAGGUCCUAACUUCCUGUUCUUACCCAUCCAUAAGGCUUAGGUCCUAACUUCCUGUUCUUACCCAUCCAUAAGGCUUAGGUCCUAACUUCCUGUUCUUACCCAUCCAUAAGGCUUAGGUCCUAACUUCCUGUUCUUACCCAUCCAUAAGGCUUAGGUCCUAACUUCCUUUCUUACCCAUCCAUAAGGCUUAGGUCCUAACUUCCUGUUCUUACCCAUCCAUCAGGCUUAGGUCCUAACUUCCUGUUCUUACCCAUCCAUAAGGCUUAGGUCCUAACUUCCUGUUCUUACCCAUCCAUCAGGCUUAGGUCCUAACUUCCUGUUCUUACCCAUCCAUAAGGCUUAGGUCCUAACUUCCUGUUCUUACUGCCCAUCCAUCAGGUUUAGGUCCUGACUUCCUGUUCUUACUGCCCAUCCAUCAGGUUUAGGUCCUAACUUCCUGUUCUUACUGCCCAUCCAUCAGGUUUAGGUCCUGACUUCCUGUUCUUACUGCCCAUCCAUCAGGCUUAGGUCCUAACUUCCUGUUCUUACUGCCCAUCCAUCAGGCUUAGGUCCUAACUUCCUGUUCUUAGUGUCCAUCAGGCCAGGGGAGAACGACUGUCUCCUCUCUUCGAAGCCACGGAAAUUCAAGGCCAAACGCAGUACUGCAGGCAGUGUUAUCAGAAAACAG